AAAGUACUCCCUCCAUCCCAAAAUUCUUGUCUUAGAUUUGUCUAGAUACGGAUGUAUCAAGUCACAUUUUAGUAUUAGAUACAUCCGUAUCUAGACAAAUCUAAGACAAGAAAUUUAGGACAGAGGGAGUAGUUG
rnacentral:pre_miRNA from 1 species